AACUGAUUCUUUUCUGAAAGGUUUUUGUUGGUUUGCUUUUCCUUUCAAGAGAAGAACAUACAAGUGAGAGAUAAUGUAGUUCUUCUGAGACCACAGCCUUAGGCGGGAUCUCUUACUGGGAGUUUUGUGCCUGCCAGGCAGCACCAAGGUCUUACAGCACAGUUCCUUCUCCUGCUGACAGGCAGGAGGUUUACAUUUCUACUGAGGACACAUUCAGACUGAAGCUGUGACUGAAGCACUGACUGAAGCAGAUGAAGCAGCCCUAAGACUGAUGCAUCCAGGUCACUGCUCCUGCUAUCUGCCAGUGUUUUCCUAGCCCCAGAAGAGAACAAACUGCCCAGGAAAUAGUACCCUGAGGAAAACCAGCACUGGGCCUUCAGGACUACAGAAAAUGUUACUCUUUAACUGCUCCCUGGUCUGAGAUGGCUUAGAGUGCCUUACCUCUUCUACCACACAGCUCUGCCAGAAGAUCUGAAGCACCUUGUAAACCUUACACCUUCCAGAGGUACAAGUGCUUAUUUCUCACAAUCACAGCUGAAGAGAUUCUUUAGUGGACACUGUGCAAAUAAAGUCCAUGCACCACAGACAUCCACAUCCUGCAGAUGUUGGUAUUCCUAUCAUACACAAUUUCUUCAGUUUUGUCAGCCAAGAAGUAGAAGUAGAAUUGCAUUUUCCUUGACACAUGAUGUGUAUAUCAUGAUCUCAAUAUUUUGGUUUCCCAUGGCCUUUUACAAUAAAGGUUCUAAAUUUGCUGCCAAGAUUUGGAAUAGUUGGAUGGAGCUAAUUUUUAUAAUUAUGUGGAAGUUUUUCAGAGUUUUUAGUACAGUGAAGACUGUGGACUAUUUCUCCUGGGCAACAUACUUUCCCUCAAUGUUCACCCAGACUGACAGACCAAAUUUUGUUCUCUCUUCCUUUGAAUUAUGGAAUCCUAGAAUCACAAAAUCAUAG
rnacentral:lncRNA from 1 species